UGGAGUGUUAACAACGUUAUAAUUGCUUGUCGGGGAGACGAGCGAUGUUCGUUAAAUUCGCGAUAUUAUGAUCGACCGUCGAACAGCCUAAUUGUCUAUCGAGGCCUGGCAGUAUCUAAUUAACCAGCUGGCCGUUUCGUUAUCGCGAUCCGACGACUUGGAUGCGAGCAUGGUAUCGCGCAAUUCAGUCAGGAAUACCAGAUGCGGUGGACGCAAACGUUGAUGCAACCGAGUGCAUGUUCCGACAUCGAGUAAUUGCUAUAAUCGCUUCUAUGUGUUUCGUGCUUUGUUCCCCUUUCGAAAUGACCUCGUUCGAGCGACGGUUCAUGCUUUAAUAUUUCACGGUGCAAUGUUCCCUACAUUCCAUGCUCUCUGGCCAAUUGUUUGAUGGAUUCAAAAUUAAGAUGUCAGCGUAGAAUUCUUUUACCUCAAUGUACUCUUUAUACUAGUCUCUGCAGAUGUAAAUAUAGAAACCUAGUUUUGGUACAGAUACAAAUACGAAUUAAAAGAUGUAAAUAAUUAUGAAGUAUAAAUUAUUGGUAAUUUAUACCAUUGGUAGUUCAACUGUUCGGGUUAUCAAACUAUUGAUAAUAUUAGUUACUAGAUCAAAGAGAAAAAAGAGAGAACUAUGGGAUAAGACUUUAUAUAUGUUAUAUUUUUAGAGUUAAUAUUUUGCAAUAUAUCUAACUCCAUUUAGAUAAUGCUUGCCUGUUUUUAUAAUACUUCGAUAUCAUGAAAUUGCAUAGACAUUUUGCGAUAUGAGUUUGCCCGAAAGCGGAUGACGUUAACAACGAAAUCGUUCGAAACAAUCCUACAGGAAGGCUAGCAUUGCGGAUGCGCGAGAGUACUUCCUGUUAUGCUUGAACGGUGCAAUUCAGACGUAUCCAAUAACUCUUGUGUUUUAUUUCAAACCAGACGAGCAGCAAUCAUCGAAGUGGGCUAAGAAUUAUGGGACUCCUCUCGAUGAUGUUGAACUCGGUAUGGCAAUCGUAUUGCGAUUAUCCUUGUCGUGCAAAAUACAGCUUCUCGUAGAAAAACAUCAAGUCAAAAAAGAUCGUAAUAUGACGAAGUCGCACAAAUCUGCAUAGAUCGAGGAAAAUUUUACAUUCUUUCGAAAUAAAAUAUAAAUGAACAUGUAGAAUAUAUAUCAUAUUAACUUUAUAUCGUGCCAUAAUUUACUACGUUCGAUAAAAAGGUAUCAUCAUAAUUAAUUAUAAUAUUAGUACAUCUAAUUUAUAAUAUUGUUUAUUACUGAUUUAUCAUUGGAUAAUAUUAUUUAUUGUAAUCGUUCGUCUACUAUUGAUUUAUUUUAAUGGCGAUGCUAUUCAAUAACAUGUACAAAAUAUAUUUAUCACUAAUAAAUGAAUAUAUGAGUUUCACAAUUAUAAAGGGUAUAAAUAUCGGAAAUUACGUUGGUGAUUUCAUUCGAUAGGAUAUACCAAAUAUAUUUAAUAUUUACAAUAGAAAUACAUCACGCUAAUAAAUUAA